UCAGAUAGAGGUGCGUUUUUUAUCAUUAGCAGGUAUCUGUAGGCCGCGCGACAAAGCGGAGCGAUACGUGUGAAAGGAAAAAACGCCGAAGCGUCGGUUUGUCACCGAAAGCUGGGCGCAGGGUUAAGAGCUUUGCGACUGUCACCGGAAUUCCGGUGUUGAGCUAUC
rnacentral:ncRNA from 1 species